CCUCACUGCACAACUAUAGGGACACAGUUCACAGAGAAUGCAGUGGUCUCCUGAGUGGCCGUAUGGGAAGAUUUGGAGGAAAAUUUUGUCCAUCAUUCAUGGAGAAGACAGAAGUGCUGCAGCAAAGAGGCUGGGAGAACAACGCAUGCCCAGAGUGUUGUUAGAGUUUGAACCUCCUAAAGGGCAAUCCUGUUGCUAAGGAAACUGCUGCUCCAGAAAUGCUCAAUGCAGAGAUAAAGAGAAGGAAAGAAAGGGACAACCAGUCCUACGCUUGGGGGAAGGGCGGUGUGACGCUGCCUGGGAACUCCUAAACCUUCAUUGGUGAGAAGCAUCAAAGUCUCUAUAGUGGGAAAAACCAAGCACCUUUACACUUUCCUAGAAAACAUCUGGGUAGCAUUUAAGGAACUCUUAGACUACAUUUGAAUUUUAUUUUUCUCUGCACAAGCAGGACAACUGAGUGAUUGUCAAUGUUGUAUUAAUACUCGCAUUUAGGAGGUUUAUAGCAGUUCUCCAAAUGUAAUCACCUUCGUUUUUAGUACACAGUACCAUUAAAACAGAUUCGUAGUGCUCAAAAGCAUCUUUUGAUUUAUUUUAUAUUUGAUGAUCACUGUGAAUGGGUUAGAGUUGUAGAUGUAGUCA
rnacentral:lncRNA from 1 species